GUGAAGCGGUGUGUGAGGGAAUAUCAGAGACGACGAGGAACUCCGCAGCGGCUCGAUGAGCUCCGGAUGCGUCCGAACCAGAAGUUCGACGGUCUCCAGCCUGAAACAGAGCAAAGUUGACGAUGUGUUUACUGCGUCGUGGUUUGUCGGAGUUGAAAUGAAUCGUCCCAGUUAGGAGAAAAAAAAAAAAUUGUACCGCAGGCGAAGAAUCUAUAUGAAAAAAAAUACAUAUAUUCAUUAUCGACAGAUAACGGUAGGAAAAGAAAUACCACAUGGACUCGAGAAACGCGCUGACGGUGGUAUGUAAAAAAAAAAUCUGUCCACAGUUGUCCACUUUUCAUCAUAUGCUGUACUUUUCAGUUCAAGUUCUUUCUUAUAUUCUCAUUAUUUCUUUCUUCUACAAGUGAUGUCAAAUUCACGAAGAAUAAAAUAAUAUCGAUUAAUGUCAUUAUCAAUUAAAAAAGUUACAAAUGCAUCGCUCCAAAAAUCCGGCUAGUAUUUUACAAAGUUUAUAAAACCAUCCCAAAAAAUGAAAUAUGCCGUUUACUUUUGGCCCGAUGCAAUGAUAGUAAUAUAUGUGUAUGUGUUCCAAGAAUUCACGAACGGUAAAUUCCUCCCGUGCUCCAUUGUUAUAGCGAGCACAAUUCGCGCAGACGUAUAAAUUUAUUUGAUCAAA
rnacentral:lncRNA from 1 species